rnacentral:ncRNA from 1 species
GUCACCGUGAGGUGAGGUCUGAAGGAAGCCGCAGGCAAAAUGCUGCUCUGACGAACAGGAAUCGCACACGAGGCGUUGUUACUGGAUAAGAAGGCCAAUAUCUUCAAAGUCCAAUAGUUACACGGAAAGUAUCAACGUAUAUGCGGCAGAGAUAAGCAGGAAGGCGUAUGUG